ACGGCUCAGUAACACGUAGUCAACCUGCCCUUGGGCCGAGAAUAAUCUCGGGAAACUGAGGCUAAUGAACGAUAGGUCAAGACUCCUGGAAUGGGUUUUGGUCUAAAUGGCGUGACAGCAUCUUGUCAUGUCCGCCCAAGGAUGGGACUGCGGCCGAUCAGGCUGUUGGUGGGGUAAAGGCCCACCAAACCAGUAACCGGUACGGGCUUUGAGAGAAGGAGCCCGGAGAUGGACACUGAGACAAGGGUCCAGGUCCUACGGGGCGCAGCAGGCGCGAAACCUUCGCAAUGCGCGCAAGCGCGACGAGGUUAUUCCGAGUGAUUUCCGCUGAGGAAAUCUUUUCUUAGAUCUAAAAAGUCUGGGGAAUAAGGGGAGGGCAAGUCUGGUGUCAGCCGCCGCGGUAAUACCAGCUCCUCGAGUGGUCAGGGCGUUUAUUGGGCCUAAAGCAUCCGUAGCCUGCUUGGUAGGUCUCCUGUUAAAUCCAACGGCUCAACCGUUGGUCUGCAGGAGAUACGGCGGACGGUACUCCGAGGGUAGGGGUAAAAUCCUUUGAUCCCCGGAAGACCACCAGUGGCGAAGGCGGUCCGCCAGAACGCGCUCGACGGUGAGGGAUGAAAGCUGGGGGAGCGAACCGGAUUAGAUAC
rnacentral:rRNA from 1 species